rnacentral:rRNA from 1 species
AUUUGAAAUCUGGCACCUUCGGUGUCCGAGUUGUAAUUUGAAGAAGGUAACUUUGGAGUUGGCUCUUGUCUAUGUUCCUUGGAACAGGACGUCACAGAGGGUGAGAAUCCCGUGCGAUGAGAUGUCCAACUCUAUGUAAAGUGCUUUCGAAGAGUCGAGUUGUUUGGGAAUGCAGCUCUAAGUGGGUGGUAAAUUCCAUCUAAAGCUAAAUAUUGGCGAGAGACCGAUAGCGAACAAGUACAGUGAUGGAAAGAUGAAAAGAACUUUGAAAAGAGAGUGAAAAAGUACGUGAAAUUGUUGAAAGGGAAGGGUUUGAGAUCAGACUUGGUAUUUUGUAUGUCUUGCUUUCGGGUGGGGCCUCUGCAGUUUACUGGGCCAGCAUCGGUUUGGACGGUAGGAUAAUGACAUUGGAAUGUGGCACUACUUCGGUGGUGUGUUAUAGACUUUGUUGAUACUGCCUGUCUAGACCGAGGACUGCGUCUUUGACUAGGAUGCUGGCAUAAUGAUCCUAAA